CCCUUAGAUGUUCUGGGCCGCACGCGCGCUACACUGAUGCAUUCAACGAGCCUAUCCUUGACCGACAGGUCCGGGUAAUCUUUGAAUCUGCAUCGUGACGGGGAUAGAUUAUUGCAAUUAUUAAUCUUCAACGAGGAAUGCCUAGUAGGCGCAAGUCAUCAGCUUGCGUCGAUUACGUCCCUGCCCUUUGUACACACCGCCCGUCGCUCCUGCCGAUUGGGUGUGCUGGUGAAAUGUUCGGAUCGGCCGUUUGUCGCGGUUUCCGCGGCUCGUGGCUGAGAAGUUCAUUAAACCCUCCCACCUAGAGGAAGGAGAAGUCGUAACA
rnacentral:rRNA from 1 species